rnacentral:rRNA from 1 species
UACGGGGGGGGCAAGCGUUGUUCGGAAUUACUGGGCGUAAAGGGUGCGUAGGUGGCGCGGUAAGUCGGGUGUGAAAUUUCGGAGCUUAACUCCGAAACUGCAUUCGAUACUGCCGUGCUUGAGGACUGGAGAGGAGACUGGAAUUUACGGUGUAGCAGUGAGAUGCGUAGAGAUCGUAAGGAAGACCAGUGGCGAAGGCGGGUCUCUGGACAGUUCCUGACACUGAGGCACGAAGGCCAGGGGAGCAAACAGG